rnacentral:tRNA from 1 species
GGUCUAUUAGUCUAUGGGUUAAGAUGCUGGCCUGUCACGCCGGCGUAACGAGUUCGAGCCUCGUAUAGACCG